GGUGCUCGGAUUUUAAGGCAGCAGCUUGCCGAUCCUCCCAGCUGAAUAAAGCCCUUCCUUCUACAACUUGGUGUCUGAGAGGUUUUGUCUGCGGCUCGUCCUUCUACAUUUCUUGGUCCCCUGACCGGGAAUCGAGGUAACUGAGGGAUGGCCGAGGUAGCCCCUUAGGCAGCUUAGGCCUGCCCUGUGGAGCAUCCCUGCAGGGGACUCUGGCCAGCCUGAGUGACGUGAUCCAAAGAGCACUCCUGGGUAGAAAAUUGCCUGGGUGGAACGCCUCACCAGAACAGCACGUAGCAGGCCCCUGUGGAGGAUUAACACAGUGGCUGAACACCGGGAAGGAACUGGCACUUGGAGUCCGGACAUCUGAAACUUGAAUUGACAAGCCGACAUCAGUCUCCAGAGUGAAUCCAAGGAGUGGACCCAAGACAUUUGUGUUCUGUGAUGUGGUGGCAUGUUACCUGUCAUCUCCGAUGCAUAACUCCUAAAGUGCGUCUGGGGCAGUUGUACAGAUUGCAGAGGAUAAUACUCAAGAUGUUCUCCAAGGCCAACUAGUCAUCAGUUUAUUCAUGUUUCUGGGAUUGGAUUCAUGAACUCAUCCUUUGAACUAUUUCAACAAGCUUUUUCAUGUAACUAAUCUGCGGAAGGUAGAAAGGGGAAAACUGUUGGGUGCUAAAAUGACAACUGGUUCAAGGUACAAUGGCGAAUAUUUUUAUUUCUGCAACUUUUCUUAGAGGUUGGAAACUGGACUGGGCAGGAAGAUUCCUUUUUGUAAGAUUAGUCUCCAGUUUUCAUCAAGCAGUUUAGUGGGGUAUUUUAGGCCCAGUUCCCUCUCCACAGUCCCCAAAGGUCUUCUGUUAACUUUAAAUCCGCAAAGAGAGAGAUCUCUGCCAAGCAGCAACUGCAAGAGCAUGUGGGUCAAUGUUACCAGCAGACACUCAAAGCCCAUUCCCUUUACUUCAACACCGCUUUAUAAAUUAUCUUAGAGACGUUGUCAGGUUGGUAUUAGAGAGCUCCCAAGAUGGUGGUGGGCCACUUCCAAGAUGGUGGCAAGAGUCGUAUUCUCUGACCUGGGGUUCUUGGUCUCAUGGAUUCCAAGGAAUGGAAUCUUGCGCCAUGUGGAGAAGCGUCAGAUAAUUAGGCAGCAGUCCAACAAUUAGGUUUUGUGGAACUUUUACUAUGUCAUCUAUUUAUUGGAAUUCCCCCUGGAUACCAGGACCCCCUCCAGCAGAGCUUAAAGUUAUAGUUACAGGAAGUACAAAUUCCUUAUGUGGAUCCCUGGAAGUGUGAUGAGAAGAACCACUGUUUCCAAGAUCUAUUUAUUCUAUUUAUCAGGCCUAUAAAAUCAUGUAAUGGCCAUGGCUUCAACUAGACUCCACAUCUUGAAUCACAGAACUCAACGAAUGGCAUCAACUACAAGCUGGUAUUCUGCUAUACAUUUAAGAGGCCAUUUUAAUAUUCUAUUAGUCUAGCAGCUUCUAAGUGAUGAGGGAUAUGGGGGGACUGGAGGAUCCCGUGCUCACUUCCUUUUCUGUAAAAGGAGCUCUUUGAUCCAAGGUGACAUGGUAUGGGAUCCAAUGACAAUAAAUCAGUUAUUCUGUGAACCCUGAUCAAAACUUGACUAAACUUUUGACAGUUAGGUUUUUUCCUGACCACAGACUCCUCACCUUUCUUUUCUUAGAAAAUUUACAUUGGAAAACAGAUGUAAAUUUUCUCCAGCCUCUUGCAAGGUUUACAGUCCAGGACUUUGAGGUCCUGGGAGUCAUCCUUUUGAAAUACAAUCAUCAAAGAAGAUAGUGCUCCAAUCUCCUAGUCUCUGUGGGAGGGUUGGAACCUAACUUCAGUAAACUAAUCACCAAUUAGCAAACACAGAGGGGCUGAUCAUACUGACCCACUUUCCCACUAAAAUGUCUAGUACUUUCCACCAGCUCACCACAGUGCUUAAAAACUCUCCUGUCUUUUGUUUUACUAGAGUUGAGUCCAAUCUCUUUCAUCUAUUGCAAUAGUGUUGAAUAAAGUCUUCCUUGCCUAA
rnacentral:lncRNA from 1 species